rnacentral:rRNA from 1 species
GAACGCUGGCGGCAUGCUUUACACAUGCAAGUCGAACGGCAGCACGGGUGCUUGCACCUGGUGGCGAGUGGCGAACGGGUGAGUAAUGCAUCGGAACGUGCCCAUGAGUGGGGGAUAGCCCGGCGAAAGCCGGAUUAAUACCGCAUACGCCCUUAGGGGGAAAGCGGGGGGAUCUUCGGACCUCGCGCUAUUGGAGCGGCCGAUGUCGGAUUAGCUAGUAGGUGAGGUAAAGGCUCACCUAGGCGACGAUCCGUAGCUGGUCUGAGAGGAUGAUCAGCCACACUGGGACUGAGACACGGCCCAGACUCCUACGGGAGGCAGCAGUGGGGAAUUUUUGGACAAUGGGCGCAAGCCUGAUCCAGCCAUGCCGCGUGAGUGAAGAAGGCCUUCGGGUUGUAAAGCUCUUUCAGGUGGAAAGAAAUAGCGCUGUUUAAUAGAUGGCGUUGAUGACGGUACCACCAGAAGAAGCACCGGCUAACUACGUG